UAACCCUCAGCCGCACCCCCUACCCUGUUUCUCCACUCUCACCCCAAUGGCCACACACACACAGAAUGGGAAAGGAGCUCAGAAAUGGAAAUCAGAGACGCAAGGGGGAAGAUAGUCGCGCCAGCAUGCUGGGCUUUGCCGCCACCAUCCCGUCACCAUCGCCAUCCAGCCUGCCUCGCCACCGCCGCCGUCCCUGUCACUGAGAAGGGAGGGCACCAUCGACGCCGUUUAGGGAGGAAGGAAGACCCGCGCAAGAGUCAGUGGAGGAGGAGCCUCGCGCGUCACCGUCAACUUGAAAGGGGAGGCUGAGUUCCGCGCCGCUGCUGCUUGACGGGUUGAGCCUCGUCGCCGUUGAGGGAGCCACCGCCGCCGAAUCCUAAUCGUCGCUGCUGUCAGGAGGACGAGCCUGGAAGGAGAAGGACGAAGCCCGUUCUCGCACCGUCCUGCUCCGCCACCGCAGCUGCCGUCACGCACCGUCGUGUGCCGUCGCUGCUGUCUGAACGGUCAUCAUUCCCUCUGUUCUGCUGCUCCGGUCUACCGCCGCCACCGCUAGAGAUCCGCCCGAUCUGGUCUGAAGGAAAGAAGGAGGUUCAGGCCAUCGCUGCUACUUGCGUUGUGAGCUGCUUCACCAGCCACCGCCACGGGUGUCGCUGCUGGAGAAGGGAGCUGCGCCCUCAUGCUUCUGGCCACUGAGAGUGGUUUCGUGACUUCCGGGACCCCCGCCAAAGCUCCCGGUUGAGCCUCUACCGCCAGGAACACCUCGGCUGCCACCGAGUUCCGUUGCCGUUACCAACGCUGGAGAACCUCGCUGCCGUCGCCGGAGAACUCUUCCGUUGAUCCACCGGAGAUUCUGGCCGCCGCCGGAGCUGUUGUCGGGGCCGGUUCAAAAAUCGUAGCUGCCUCAUUGUAUUAUUUCGUGUUGCGAUGGUUAUUGCGAAAGUGGCUGGGAGCUGAGGUUUUAGUUGCCGGUGAUUUUGAAUUGAGGUGGAAAGGACUCUGUGAGACGUUUGGGUUUUGGAAUUGCGUUUUGAGGAUUUGGGCGCAGAAGUUAUGAAGAGUUUAAUUAUUUGUUAUUGAGAUGCUCUGUAUUGCUUUAUAUUAUUAUUUUUGUACCCUCGCCUUUAUCUUGAUAUAUUCUGUGAGAGGGAUAGGAAUUGUACUGGAUAAUGUUUGUAAUAUUAUUUAUAUAUAUGUAUGUAUAUAUAUAUGGAUGUACUCUUUAUGAGUUUCUGUAAGUUGUAUGGUAUGUAUGGGCGUACGUUGUAUGGCGAAAGUAUUUUUUGGGAAUGGUAUUGCGGUUUAAAGUUUUUAAACA